rnacentral:rRNA from 1 species
AUGAACGCUGGCGGCGUGCCUAAUACAUGCAAGUCGAGCGAACAGACGAGGAGCUUGCUCCUCUGACGUUAGCGGCGGACGGGUGAGUAACACGUGGAUAACCUACCUAUAAGACUGGGAUAACUUCGGGAAACCGGAGCUAAUACCGGAUAAUAUAUUGAACCGCAUGGUUCAAUAGUGAAAGACGGUUUUGCUGUCACUUAUAGAUGGAUCCGCGCCGCAUUAGCUAGUUGGUAAGGUAACGGCUUACCAAGGCGACGAUGCGUAGCCGACCUGAGAGGGUGAUCGGCCACACUGGAACUGAGACACGGUCCAGACUCCUACGGGAGGCAGCAGUAGGGAAUCUUCCGCAAGGGGCGAAAGCCUGACGGAGCAACGCCGCGUGAGUGAUGAAGGUCGUCGGAUCGUAAAACUCUGUUAUUAGGGAAGAACAAAUGUGUAAGUAACUAUGCACGUCUUGACGGUACCUAAUCAGAAAGCCACGGCUAACUACG